GCUACGGAGGCAGCAGUGGAGAUCUUGCGCAUGGGCGAAAGCCUGACGCAGCCACGCCGCGUGCGGGAAGAAGGCCUUCGGGUCGUAAACCGCUUUCAGGAGGGGAGAGCGAAAGUGACGGUACCUCCAGAAGAAGGUCCGGCUAACUACGUGCCAGCAGCCGCGGUAA
rnacentral:rRNA from 1 species